UACGUAGGGUGCAAGCGUUGUCCGGAAUUAUUGGGCGUAAAGCGCGCGCAGGCGGUCCUUUAAGUCUGAUGUGAAAGCCCUCGGCUCAACCGAGGAGGGUCAUUGGAAACUGGAGGACUUGAGUGCAGAAGAGGAAAGUGGAAUUCCAAGUGUAGCGGUGAAAUGCGUAGAGAUUUGGAGGAACACCAGUGGCAAAGGCGACUUUCUGGUCUGUAACUGACGCUGAGGCGCGAAAGCGUGGGGAGCAAACAGG
rnacentral:rRNA from 1 species